rnacentral:rRNA from 1 species
AGUCGAGCGGACAGAAGGGAGCUUGCUCCCGGAUGUUAGCGGCGGACGGGUGAGUAACACGUGGGUAACCUGCCUGUAAGACUGGGAUAACUCCGGGAAACCGGAGCUAAUACCGGAUAGUUCCUUGAACCGCAUGGUUCAAGGAUGAAAGACGGUUUCGGCUGUCACUUACAGAUGGACCCGCGGCGCAUUAGCUAGUUGGUGAGGUAACGGCUCACCAAGGCGACGAUGCGUAGCCGACCUGAGAGGGUGAUCGGCCACACUGGGACUGAGACACGGCCCAGACUCCUACGGGAGGCAGCAGUAGGGAAUCUUCCGCAAUGGACGAAAGUCUGACGGAGCAACGCCGCGUGAGUGAUGAAGGUUUUCGGAUCGUAAAGCUCUGUUGUUAGGGAAGAACAAGUGCAAGAGUAACUGCUUGCACCUUGACGGUACCUAACCAGAAAGCCACGGCUAACUACGUGCCAGCAGCCGCGGUAAUACGUAGGUGGCAAGCGUUGUCCGGAAUUAUUGGGCGUAAAGGGCUCGCAGGCGGUUUCUUAAGUCUGAUGUGAAAGCCCCCGGCUCAACCGGGGAGGGUCAUUGGAAACUGGGAAACUUGAGUGCAGAAGAGGAGAGUGGAAUUCCACGUGUAGCGGUGAAAUGCGUAGAGAUGUGGAGGAACACCAGUGGCGAAGGCGACUCUCUGGUCCGUAACUGACGCUGAGGAGCGAAAGCGUGGGGAGCGAACAGGAUUAGAUACCCUGGUAGUCCACGCCGUAAACGAUGAGUGCUAAGUGUUAGGGGGUUUCCCGCCCCUUAGUGCUGCAGCUAACGCAUUAAGCACUCCGCCUGGGGAGUACGGUCGCAAGACUGAAACUCAAAGGAAUUGACGGGGGCCCGCACAAGCGGUGGAGCAUGUGGUUUAAUUCGAAGCAACGCGAAGAACCUUACCAGGUCUUGACAUCCUCUGACAACCCUAGAGAUAGGGCUUUCCCUUCGGGGACAGAGUGACAGGUGGUGCAUGGUUGUCGUCAGCUCCGUGUCGUGAGAUGUUGGGUUAAGUCCCGCAACGAGCGCAACCCUUGAUCUUAGUUGCCAGCAUUCAGUUGGGCACUCUAAGGUGACUGCCGGUGACAAACCGGAGGAAGGUGGGGAUGACGUCAAAUCAUCAUGCCCCUUAUGACCUGGGCUACACACGUGCUACAAUGGACAGAACAAAGGGCUGCGAGACCGCAAGGUUUAGCCAAUCCCACAAAUCUGUUCUCAGUUCGGAUCGCAGUCUGCAACUCGACUGCGUGAAGCUGGAAUCGCUAGUAAUCGCGGAUCAGGCAUGCCCGCGGUGAAUACGUUCCCGGGCCUUGUACACACCGCCCGUCACACCACGAGAGUUUGCAACACCCGAAGUCGGUGAGGUAACCUUAUGGAGCCAGCCGCCGAAG